rnacentral:rRNA from 1 species
ACCUGACUGCUAUCGGAUUGAUACUAAGCCAUGCGAGUCAUUGUAGCAAUACAAGGCAUACGGCUCAGUAACGCGUAGUCAACCUAACCUAUGGACGGGAAUAACCUCGGGAAACUGAGAAUAAUGCCCGAUAGAACAUUAUGCCUGGAAUGGUUUAUGUUCCAAAUGAUUUAUCGCCGUAGGAUGGGACUGCGGCCUAUCAGUUUGUUGGUGAGGUAAUGGCCCACCAAGACUAUUACAGGUACGGGCUCUGAGAGGAGUAGCCCGGAGAUGGGUACUGAGACACGGACCCAGGCCCUAUGGGGCGCAGCAGGCGAGAAAACUUUGCAAUGUGCGAAAGCACGACAAGGUUAAUCCGAGUGGUUUCUGCUAAAGAAACCUUUUGUCAGUCCUAGAAACACUAACGAAUAAGGGGUGGGCAAGUUCUGGUGUCAGCCGCCGCGGUAAAACCAGCACCUCAAGUGGUCAGGAUGAUUAUUGGGCCUAAAGCAUCCGUAGCCGGCUCUGUAAGUUUUCGGUUAAAUCUGUACGCUCAACGUACAGGCUGCCGGGAAUACUGCAGAGCUAGGGAGUGGGAGAGGUAGACGGUACUCGGUAGGAAGUGGUAAAAUGCUUUGAUCUAUCGAUGACCACCUGUGGCGAAGGCGGUCUACCAGAACACGUCCGACGGUGAGGGAUGAAAGCUGGGGGAGCAAACCGGAUUAGAUACCCGGGUAGUCCCAGCUGUAAACUAUGCAAACUCAGUGAUGCAUUGGCUUGUGGCCAAUGCAGUGCUGCAGGGAAGCCGUUAAGUUUGCCGCCUGGGAAGUACGUACGCAAGUAUGAAACUUAAAGGAAUUGGCGGGGGAGCACCACAAGGGGUGAAGCCUGCGGUUCAAUUGGAUUCAACGCCGGAAAU